rnacentral:lncRNA from 1 species
CGCUGCAAGGAAUUGUGAGACGACCCAUUGGAUGAUCAUAUCCAAACUCUUGCUCAGCUUGACUCAGCAAAUCUUGAAAUAAAGGUGUGUUCAAGUAUGAUAUUGGUAUCACAAAUCGCUUUUGUUUCUCUCCAACAUACACUGCAAGAUACCCCUUUGGAACUUCUACACAUUUUGAAGUUGCUUUGCUAGCACCAAGUGAUGCCCUUCGGAUAGCAGUUAAACGGAAACCCAUUUGUUGUUUUUGUUUGAAGUAAGAAGAACAAGGCAAAACUCUCAAAUUUGAGAAGUGACUAAGUUUUAAUGUUUAGGAAUGCAAAUGACUUGUGUUAAUUGUGAAGGGAAGAAGUAUUUAUUUAUAGACUUUAAGGGACUCUUGAAACCCAAUUCCAAGAGAAAUGAUUAUUGAGAGGUUUUAAAUGAUAGGGACAUGCAUAAGAGAUAUCACAUGGUAUUGUCUUAGAGGCCUCUAUCAAGGAUUAACAAGUUGUUAAAGAGUAUACCCCACCUUCUCAAAGGAAUGGCCUACAAAUAACCCACUUAAAAUAAUUCAAAGACUUAGCAAAUUUGACAUCUCACAUGUUUCUUCAGAUUGAGAAUUAUGUGGAUAUGCAUCAUUUACCAACUAAUAUCAAAGUCAUAGUAUGAAAUCUAUAUACAUGAGCAAGACCUGAAUGAUAGCUCUUAAACACAGUGUUUGGAGGCAAUAACAGAACCAAUACUGAAUACAUGAUCAUGACCCACCAUGAACCAUAUUAUGUGUACAUCAGAUUUCAAGAAGUAUUGGUUGCAUAAAAUGAGGCAUUCUAUGCUGUCAUCAAUUUAUUAUGAUGCUCCCUCUGCAAAAAUGGCUACAUUAUUUAUUUUUUCUUUGUAUCUACCAUGCCUAGUUUUGGGAGCUUACAAAAUGGGUAGCCUCCUCCAUACAGUAUGAGGCUUUUGUAAUCUGCUCCAGUUUACUCUUAUAUGUAAUCUCUAUGGCCAAACAGCCUUUUAUAGUUCCAUAAUUCGCUAAUAAGAUUUAUGAUGUCCAUAUUCUGGUAUACAUGAUGCUUUUCAUUGAAAGAAAUGAGUUUGAUUCAUUCAAAAGAAAAUUCUUUAGUUUACACAUCAGUGAUGGCAUGAUGGAAGAUUACCACUCAGUUAUGGCAUUACUGCAAAAUACAGCAGUCAUAAAUUCAAGAAGAAUAGAUAAAGAAAAAGCUUGUUAGUUAGUUUAUUCCUUGUUGUAUCUAAGAACACCAUGUUCCUAUAAAAAAGACCUUCAUGGCCUACUUUUCUAGUUUCAGACAUGCAACAAGUGAAAUGUUGUGUUCAUAUUAAUGUAGGCCAACUGCAGCUACUGGUACUUGAAAUGAUUAUAUAUGUAAAGAGAGUGAUUAGUUACAUCACUGGAAUUGGAAACAAUCAGAGUCACCUCCUUUAAUAUUACUAAUACAAGGAAGGAAUAAAUGGUAAAUGUCUGUACAAAUAGGCCAAGCAUUUUAUGCAACCAUUUUAAUUAUAAUUGUAACAUUGAAUUACAUGAUCACAAACCACAUUUUUUUUGUUCAUCUGAUUCCAAUUAACACCAGGUAAAUAUGCAUACAUGAAAGUUCUGGCACCUUCUCCACCAACUUAAUUGAUUAUAUGUAAACUUGCUCAAAUUAGACAUUUCUAGCAUACAUAUGUCUGUUUUAAUUCAACUGUUGAUCCUUGAGAAAGUCCUCUAGGACAACACCAUUUGACCUCUUAUAUGCGAGAAAAGGGUUUGUGUUUCCAUUGUCAUACUUGACCUAACCUUCAUUCCAAGACUUCCUGAGUCAAACCAAGGAAGAAUUUGGGUAUGGGCAGUUUCACAAUUCUUUGCAGAGAAGAUGUGUUCUUAGAUGUUACUUCACACUUCGGUAGCUGCUAAACAUAUCAACAUAAAGCCUCAUAUAGACAUAAACAUAAUUUUUGUAACCCAGUCUUAGAUUUAAAAUAUUUUCACUUUUCCUUAUCCUACUUAAAUUAACACAACAUAUUCCUUUCAUUUUCUCAUCAAAUCUCAGUGUUCAGCAAACCAAAUAAACUGUGUUUGGUUUAGUAUCUUUAGGAGAUAAAAUAAAAUUUUCCCUCCUGGUCCUAUAAUAAACUGUAGUAAUUUCUUUACUAUAAAAAAAAGUAGUUACUUGAUAUGAAUGCAGAGGAGGGGUUUUACCAUAUCUAGUUACCAGGAAAUUGAAAUAAAUUUCGUGAUCUACUUAUGUAGCCACAACCACUUGUUAUUUGUUAUCAUGAUAUAUACUGGUUUUGAGUUAAUAAGAGACAUGUUAGAAUUUUGAGUAAUCCAAUCCUUAAGUGAAGUUAGGUAUAUCUUAUUUUCAGUUAGAAGUUAUUUUUGAAAAGUAGCUAAAGCACUACAAGGGAAAAUAACUUUGAAAAGAUUCAUAACAUAAUAUGAAAAAACCAAUUCAAAUUUGACUAAAAAGGUAUAAUAUCUAUAUUCAUAACUGUUUCAAGCAACCAAUAAGAUGCAUUUUACAGUUUCCAAAGAAGUAUAACAAGAAAGAUGAAAGUGUCUGCUAUACAAUGCCAAUUAGCCUCAACUAAUCUAUAUCAGUCUCCUUCGGUAUGACUUAUAGUCUAUUCAAGCGAGAAGCAAUGUCUAAGAAAGCAUCCUCCCUGCACGGAAUUGUAAGGCCACCCAUUGGAUGCUCAUAUCCAAAUUCUUCUUCAGCUUCAUUAAGUAACACUUGAAAUGAAGGUUGAUUCAAGUAUGAAACUGGAAUAACAAAACGCUUCAUUUUUGCUCCAACAUAGACUGCAAGGUACCCUUUCGGGACUUCCAUAGCUUUGGAAGCAAUUUGGAAUGAAACCCUUCUAAUACCAGGUAAGCGAAAUCCCAUUGUUAUAUGUUUUGCUACACACCAAGAAUUCAAGGACUUGUUUAAGAUAGAUUAUUUUGAAAUCUUAUUUUUCAAGUGACUUAUAUUGCUUGAGAAUGCCAUGAUGAGUUGAGUGUAUAUAUAGAUAAAAUGUGUCCUUAUUGUGUGGAAACAAUUCUGUACUGAAAUGAAUGGUUAAGGGGCUAUUUGAUGGGGUCUAGUAGGAGACAAGGGCUUAUGAAAGAUCACAUGGUAUUGUAAUAUUGUCUACAAGGUGUUUAACAAGGAUUGAUUUAGAUUUGAGGAUUGAUGCCUAAGUUGUUGUCUCCUUCAGAAAGAGUCUUAACAGACAAUAAGAUAAUAAUUGCAUAGCUGAUGUAAUGGCCUACUUGUAAUGUUUCAGACAUGCUCAAAACAUAUCACAUAGCUUCUAGUAUUGGUAAACCACAAGUUAUUGGAAUCUGAUCUAUAGAAAAUGAUAUCUAUCUGAUAGAUGUUUAGAUAAUAGAAUCAGAGGUAAGAAAAUAUCAUAUUUUUUGUGAUAAUAUCCAAACUAGCAUUACUAGUACUUGCAAGACAUAAAGCAUGGUCCCACAAUUGAGGCAACCACUUCAAUAAUCUCUAAAACAGUAGAAGUUAUCCAGUGUGGAGUGGUUAUAACUUAUAUUGAUUAGUAGCAUCCUCCCUGUAACAAAACUAGUGCAAAACAAAGCAUUUCUCGAAAUAAAAAGUGGUUCAAGAAUGCAGUAAAAUUGAAAUGAUUUCUGCCAAUUCAGUGUAAGAAUGACUUGUGUUCUGUGGCUUGUAAACUCAGUGACUGAUACAUAUGCAUAAUGCAAGCUUCUAUGUGGUGAGAGAUAGAACUCAUUAAAACUCGUGGCGUUGUCUUAGAGAGGUUUUCAUCAAGGAUUACUUGAGAAUUGUACAACAACAACCAAGCCUAUAUCCCACUAGGUGGAGUCGGCUACAUGGAUCAAACAACACAGUUACUUGAGAAUUGUGAUAUAAAAAUAUAUGCCCCACCCUUUUGCAAAAUUUGCCUAUGAAAAUGACCUUGAUGGUUUACUUUUUCAUGUUCUUAGACUUAAUAUGGUACAACUUUUCAACUUACAUCUAUUGUAAGCUGUAAUUCAAACUUCAGAGGGUUGUGUGAUGCCUUCCUAAAUCUAGGAUCCAUGACUACAUAACUUUUGGAACAAUGCUUUUUCUCUAUUGCUAGGCCAGGAUUAGGAUUGAAUCUUAAAAACCAAUUUUUUUGUGAGCUUCUCUAUCUUGGGAGAGGGAACAGUAUAAUAGAAAACUAAAGAUUAGAGAGCAAUAGGAUUCAGUAGUGUUUGUUGUUUUGUUUGGAAACUUUUAAGAGGGAGAUUGUAAACCAAGAAUGAAUUACUUAAAAGGAAUGUGAUAAUUAUGACUAUUAGUAUGAGUUGUGUCAUGUGCAAUAAUCAUGUGAAAUCUAUUGAGCAUUUAUUCUUAUCUUACGAGUUUACCAUGAGUGUGUGGAAAGGCUUCUACUCUUAGUUAUAAAUUUCUUUUUAUGCUCCGCCAACAAUUAUAGAGUUGUUUAAUCUUCAUGACUCAUUUAGUACAUCUAAAAGCUUAAAGUUGUGGAGAAUGUUGUGGUUUGCUGUGGUGUGGUCAUUAUGGAUUAUGAGAAAUGAAGUGACAUUUGGGGAAAAGGAUGUGAGCUAUAUUCAUUUAUUGAACUUGAUUCAAACUAGAUCUUGGACUUAGUUUUCUUCAUUUGUAUCUCCAAUUUCUUUAACUUUUGCAAAUUGGUGUAAUGAUCCAAAAACUUGUAUUCAUCUAACUUCUAAAAGAUCAAUAUUUGAUUUUCUCUUUGUAUUGGGUAAGUACUCCUUGUACUCCUAUUAAUAUAAUUUUUCCUUAUCGAAAAAAGUAGUGUUAAUUUUGACUUAAAUAUGUCUUUAGUCCCAAUGAAUUAAGGAGAUUUUGAUUGUGUUCCUCAUAAAGAAAAACCAUAUUUGGUAUUUGUUUACAGGAAGAAGAGCAAGACAAAAUUCUCAAAUUUGAGAAGAAAGUGUCUAAAUUGUAAUGCUUCAGGUUCCAAGUGACUUGUGUUGAUUGUGAAGCCAAAGGGGUGUUUAUAUAUAGAUUUUAAGGGUCUCUUGAAACCCAAUUCCAAGAGAAAAAUUUGAUGAAAGGGGCUAGGGGAAUAUGCCAUAUAAUACUGCCACUUGCAUUAAACCUGAUGUUUGUUGUUGGCUCAGACUCUUUAGGCAUAUCACUUUCAAAGGUUAGGAAAUAAAAUUGGAAUGCAUACCCCACCUUCUGAAAUAAUGGCUAACAGAUUACCUACUUGAAAAGUUGGAAAUAAUCCAAAGACAUCUACAUAAGCUAAUGUUUCUUCAUCCUUUGAUAUGCUUUAGACAUAUCACAUGUUUCUUCAGAUUGAAAUUGUUGUCAAUGUGCAUCAUCCACCAACUAAUAUCAUAGUGCCUUGUCUUCUAAGACAAUGUCAUUUGACCUCUUAUAUGUCCAUGUCUCCAAUAAGUCCCAUGAUUCUCAUCUCAACUAACUUAGUUAAUAAAAUGACAUGAGAUCAAAUUUCAUCCAUAUAUAUGAAAGAAAUAAUUAAGCCCAAGGAAAGCUAGUAAAUUCAAAUAGAAAUUUUUUCAUGAUGUACUUAUUUAGCCACAAUCACUUGUCAUGAUGUAUGAUGGGGUUGAAUGGUUCCUACCACAAGCACUAAACAAAUGAUGUUGCAGUUCACUAAUAUGAGGAGGUCCCAUUUUCUCUUAGUGUGUGUUUGGGUUAUUUUAUUUUUCACAUAUCAUAGUAAUCAAAACAUGAUAUUCAUCUAUUAAUGGGUCAGAUUAUUUGACUACUUAAUCUGCAUGUAAGCUUAUAUUGUUUAUGAACCUUUUCUAAUCACUUUAAAUUGUCUUCUAUUUAAAUAGACCAUAAAAUGAUUUAUAAUUUGUCUUCUCUAGUAUACAAAAGUAGACCAAGAGUUAAAUUUGUUAUAUUGUCUGGUCAAGCCAAACAACAUUAAAGGGAUGCAUGCUACUUAAAACUAAACUCAUAAAAUAAAAUGCCGGUCAAUACAUAAGACUCCUACUUAGUAAGGUUUUGGAAUGGUAGAUAUAUACAGUCUUAUCCAUGCAAACGAAAAUGUUGUUUCCAGGAUUUCAACCUGUUACAUCCUGGUCGCUAAGCAACAACUGAGUCAGACUCUUCUCCAUUACUGGAGAGGACAAAAUGUAAUAAUAAUGUAAAGUAAGCGGAUAAAAGUGUCAUUGUUUUUUGGUUUUUCUAUAUAUUUUUAACUAACUGUCCUCUCCAGUAAUAAAGAGGAGUCUGGCUCGCAACAACCUUACCUUUGUGUCAAGCUCAUCCUCUUAAAAUAUACAAAAUUUAAAUUGGAGCUUUGUUGAUUUGCUGGAUGGCUCUUAUUGGAUGAAGAUACAUUUGACUGAACCAACCAAAGUUGCUUUUCUGAGGGCUUAAAACUGAACACUUCAGAAAUUUGUAGAGGCUACCUAGAUAAUAAAUAUAGAACUUUUGAUUUCUUAAACACUGAUCUCAUUCUAUUAUUUUCCAAUUUCCAACUUGGGCCACUGAACUGUUAGGAUGAGCAAAUGAAAAUUACAGCAAGUGCCCUUGGCCUUCAACAUGAUUAAAGAAAUAACAGAAUCUGCAUAUGUAGAUAAACCUAACCAUGCAUCCAAUGACUGAGAACUUUCGUUAGAUUCAUAUGUCUUCUAUUGAAAUUCAUGAGAAUAAUAUAUAGUCUUAUUUAUACAGGCAUAGAUGUUCUGGCUUAGAAUUUAUGUAGUUUCAUUUAUACAGGUAUUAGUAGCCAUGCUCUUGAUAAAACAACAUGAGACACUAAGUGCAGGAAAAAGUGAACAUUAAUUAAUAAAGAGAAACACUUGAGUAGAUGAAUUCAUUGUCACUAGGCAAAAAUAGAGAACAUAACAUGUGAAUUUGUUAUUAUGGGGAUAUAGACUAAUCUAGUGUACAAAAUUUCACUACUAAUCUAUGUUAUGUAAAUACAGUCUGAGAUUUAAAGCCCAUUAAUUUGAGAAGUUAUAUCUUGGAAGACAUAUUCGCUGCAAGGAAUUGUGAGACGACCCAUUGGAUGAUCAUAUCCAAACUCUUGCUCAGCUUGACUCAGCAAAUCUUGAAAUAAAGGUGUGUUCAAGUAUGAUAUUGGUAUCACAAAUCGCUUUUGUUUCUCUCCAACAUACACUGCGAGAUACCCCUUUGGAACUUCUAUACAUUUUGAAGCUGCUUUGCUAGCACCAAGUGAUGCCCUUCGAAUAGCAGUUAAAUGGAAACCCAUUUGUUGUUUUUGUUUGUAGGAAGAAGAACAAGGCAAAAUUCUCAAAUUUGAGAAGUGACUAAGUUUUAAUGUUAGGAAUGCAAAUGACUUGUGUUAAUUGUGAAGGGAAGAUGUAUUUAUUUAUAGACUUUAAGGGAC